UACGGGAGGCAGCAGGGGGAAUAUUGCACAAUGGGCGCAAGCCUGAUGCAGCCAUGCCGCGUGUAUGAAGAAGGCCUUCGGGUUGUAAAGUACUUUCAGUCGUGAGGAAGGUGUUAAGGUUAAUAACCUUAGCAAUUGACGUUAGCGACAGAAGAAGCACCGGCUAACUCCGUGCCAGCAGCCGCGGUAAUACGGAGGGUGCGAGCGUUAAUCGGAAUUACUGGGCGUAAAGGGCACGCAGGCGGUUAAUUAAGUUGGAUGUGAAAUCCCCGGGCUUAACCUGGGAAUGGCAUUCAAGCUGGUUAGCUAGAGUCUUGUAGAGGGGGUAGAAUUCCGAUGUGUAGCGGUGAAAUGCGUAGAGAUGUGGAGGAAUACCGGUGGCGAAGGCGGCCCCUGGACAAAGGCUGACGCUCAUGUGCGAAAGCGUGGGGAGCAAAC
rnacentral:rRNA from 1 species